rnacentral:rRNA from 1 species
GUCGAGGGGCAGCGGAGAGGUAGCAAUACCUUUGCCGGCGACCGGCGCACGGGUGAGUAACACGUAUGCAAUCCACCUGUAACAGGGGGAUAACCCGGAGAAAUCCGGACUAAUACCCCAUAAUAUGGGCUCUCCGCAUGGAGGGUCCAUUAAAGAGAGCAAUUUUGGUUACAGACGAGCAUGCGCUCCAUUAGCCAGUUGGCGGGGUAACGGCCCACCAAAGCGACGAUGGAUAGGGGUUCUGAGAGGAAGGUCCCCCACAUUGGAACUGAGACACGGUCCAAACUCCUACGGGAGGCAGCAGUGAGGAAUAUUGGUCAAUGGGCGGAAGCCUGAACCAGCCAAGUAGCGUGAAGGACGACUGCCCUAUGGGUUG